rnacentral:lncRNA from 1 species
GACCGCCACGGUGACUUGCAAGCAACUCACUGCACUUAGACACUGGACUACUUGAAUUUUUAAUUCAAUGAUGGAAGGAUGCUGGGUGUAGUCAAGUACUUGACUUGUUGGUGCAUGUGUCAAGAUGGGAUUGACCACUCCAGUUCAGGAGCUGUGUACAGUCAUAUUUUAAUUUAGCAAAACUUUAGCUAGGGUAGUCCUAGUGAGGAGUCACAGGACUGUUUGAGUUG